AGGAGGCAGCAGUAAGGAAUUUUGGACAAUGGGCGCAAGCCUGAUCCAGCCAUGCCGCGUGCGGGAAGAAGGCCUUCGGGUUGUAAACCGCUUUUGUCAGGGAAGAAAUCCUUUAGGCUAAUACCUUGGAGGGAUGACGGUACCUGAAGAAUAAGCACCGGCUAACUACGUGCCAGCAGCCGCGGUAAUACGUAGGGUGCAAGCGUUAAUCGGAAUUACUGGGCGUAAAGCGUGCGCAGGCGGUUAUGCAAGACAGAUGUGAAAUCCCCGGGCUUAACCUGGGAACUGCAUUUGUGACUGCAUAGCUAGAGUGCGGCAGAGGGGGAUGGAAUUCCGCGUGUAGCAGUGAAAUGCGUAGAUAUGCGGAGGAACACCGAUGGCGAAGGCAAUCCCCUGGGCCUGCACUGACGCUCAUGCACGAAAGCGUGGGGAGCAAACAGGAUUAGAUACCCCGGU
rnacentral:rRNA from 1 species